UACGGGGGGGGCAAGCGUUGUUCGGAAUUACUGGGCGUAAAGGGCGCGUAGGCGGCCAACUAAGUCCGACGUGAAAUCCCCAGGCUCAACCUGGGAACUGCGUCGGAUACUGGAUGGCUUGAAUUCGGGAGAGGGAUGCAGAAUUCCAGGUGUAGCGGUGAAAUGCGUAGAUAUCUGGAGGAAUACCGGUGGCGAAGGCGGCAUCCUGGACCGACAUUGACGCUGAGGCGCGAAAGCUAGGGGAGCAAACGGG
rnacentral:rRNA from 1 species